rnacentral:rRNA from 1 species
AACGCUGGCGGCGUGCUUAACACAUGCAAGUCGAACGGAGUGCUCCUGAUUGAGGUUUCGGCCAAAUGAAGGAGUUACUUAGUGGCGGACUGGUGAGUAACGCGUGAGGAACCUGCCUUUCAGAGGGGGACAACAGUUGGAAACGACUGCUAAUACCGCAUGACAUAUAUUAAGGGCAUCCUUGAUAUAUCAAAGAUUUAUCGCUGAAAGAUGGCCUCGCGUCUGAUUAGAUAGUUGGUGAGGUAACGGCCCACCAAGUCGACGAUCAGUAGCCGGACUGAGAGGUUGACCGGCCACAUUGGGACUGAGAUACGGCCCAGACUCCUACGGGAGGCAGCAGUGGGGAAUAUUGCACAAUGGGGGAAACCCUGAUGCAGCGACGCCGCGUGAGGGAAGAAGGUUUUCGGAUUGUAAACCUCUGUCUUCGGUGACGAAAACGACGGUAGCCGAGGAGGAAGCCACGGCUAACUACGUG